UACGGAGGGUGCAAGCGUUGCUCGGAAUCACUGGGCGUAAAGCGUCUGCAGGCGGUCUGACAAGUCGGAUGUGAAAGCCCUGGGCUCAACUCAGGAACUGCAUUCGAAACUGGCAGACUCGAGUACGGGAGAGGGGGGUGGAAUUCCUGGUGUAGGGGUGAAAUUCGUUGAUAUCAGGAGGAACACCGGCGGCGAAGGCGGCCCCCUGGCCCGCAACUGACGCUCAUGGUCGAAAGCGUGGGGAGCAAACAGG
rnacentral:rRNA from 1 species